rnacentral:rRNA from 1 species
UACGAAGGGUGCAAACGUUGCUCGGAAUUAUUGGGCGUAAAAGCGCACGUAGGCGGCAUUGCAAGUCGGAUGUGAAAUCCCUCGGCUUAACCAAGGAAGUGCAUCCGAAACUGCAGUGCUUGAGUACUUAAGAGGAUCGCGGAAUUCCCGGUGUAGAGGUGAAAUUCGUAGAUAUCGGGAGGAACACCAGUGGCGAAGGCGGCGAUCUGGGAAGAUACUGACGCUGAGGUGCGAAAGCGUGGGGAGCAAACAGG